rnacentral:rRNA from 1 species
GACGAGCCUGACGAACGUUAUUCGGAAUCACUGGGCGUAAAGGGCGCGUAGGCGGAAUGAUAAGUCAGAUGUGAAAUCCCGGGGCUCAACCUCGGAACUGCAUUUGAAACUAUCAUUCUAGAGGGUAGAUGGAGAAAACGGAAUUCCACAAGUAGCGGUGAAAUGCGUAGAUAUGUGGAAGAACACCGGUGGCGAAGGCGGUUUUCUAAUUUAUACCUGACGCUGAGGCGCGAAAGCAAGGGGAUCAAACAGG